UCUUCUUCAACACACACGGAUCUGUGUCCAGCGAUCCCGUUCACAGAUUAUUCAUGAAUUUAGUCAUUCACGGGUAUCUGUGUUUCGGUUGAUUACUGGGCAGUUCGACGUUAUACGGAGCCAUCUUUCCUAUGGAUGGUUUUUUGGCAAUCCGGUCGACAGAUCUCAGAUUAAAUGCCAGCUUCAGGUGUUCACUCUGGUCUUGAGUUCCCUUUUGGUGAACUCGGCUGGAGAUCCUGGGUGCUGGCGGCGUCAUAUUCCUGAUCCCUUCGCUGAAGCCGUUGGCUCGUGAAGUUGGGGAAAAACCAUGACAUGCCAACAUAC
rnacentral:sRNA from 1 species